UCCCGGAUAGCUCAGUCGGUAGAGCGGGUGGCUGUUAACCACCAUGCCGCAGGUUCGAGUCCUGCUCCGGGAGCCA
rnacentral:tRNA from 1 species